rnacentral:rRNA from 1 species
GACGAACGCUGGCGGCGUGCUUAACACAUGCAAGUCGAGCGAUGAAGUUCCUUCGGGGACGGAUUAGCGGCGGACGGGUGAGUAACACGUGGGUAACCUGCCUCAUAGAGGGGAAUAGCCUUCCGAAAGGAAGAUUAAUACCGCAUAAGAUUGUAGUUUCGCAUGAAACAGCAAUUAAAGGAGCAAUCCGCUAUGAGAUGGACCCGCGUCGCAUUAGCUAGUUGGUGAGGUAACGGCUCACCAAGGCGACGAUGCGUAGCCGACCUGAGAGGGUGAUCGGCCACAUUGGGACUGAGACACGGCCCAGACUCCUACGGGAGGCAGCAGUGGGGAAUAUUGCACAAUGGGGGAAACCCUGAUGCAGCAACGCCGCGUGAGUGAUGACGGUCUUCGGAUUGUAAAACUCUGCCUUCAGGGACGAUAAUGACGGUACCUGAGGAGGAAGCCACGGCUAACUACGUGCCAGCAGCCGCCGUAACAC